rnacentral:rRNA from 1 species
UGCGAAUGGCUCAUUAAAUCAGUUAUCGUUUAUUUGAUAGUACCUUACUACUUGGAUAACCGUGGUAAUUCUAGAGCUAAUACAUGCUAAAAACCCCGACUUCGGGAGGGGUGUAUUUAUUAGAUAAAAAACCAAUGCCCUUCGGGGCUCUUUGGUGAUUCAUGAUAACUUAACGGAUCGCAUGGCCUUGCGCCGGCGACGGUUCAUUCAAAUUUCUGCCCUAUCAACUUUCGAUGGUAAGGUAUUGGCUUACCAUGGUUUCAACGGGUAACGGGGAAUUAGGGUUCGAUUCCGGAGAGGGAGCCUGAGAAACGGCUACCACAUCCAAGGAAGGCAGCAGGCGCGCAAAUUACCCAAUCCCGACACGGGGAGGUAGUGACAAUAAAUACUGAUACAGGGCUCUUUUGGGUCUUGUAAUCGGAAUGAGUACAAUUUAAACCCCUUAACGAGGAACAAUUGGAGGGCAAGUCUGGUGCCAGCAGCCGCGGUAAUUCCAGCUCCAAUAGCGUAUAUUAAAGUUGUUGCAGUUAAAAAGCUCGUAGUUGAACCUUGGGCCUGGCUGGCCGGUCCGCCUCACCGCGUGUACUGGUCCGGCCGGGCCUUUCCUUCUGGAGAGCCUCAUGCCCUUCACUGGGUGUGUUGGGGAACCAGGACUUUUACUGUGAACAAAUUAGAGUGUUCAAAGCAGGCCUUUGCUCGAAUACAUUAGCAUGGAAUAAUAGAAUAGGACGUGCGGUCCUAUUUUGUUGGUUUCUAGGACCGCCGUAAUGAUUAAUAGGGAUAGUCGGGGGCAUCAGUAUUCAAUUGUCAGAGGUGAAAUUCUUGGAUUUAUUGAAGACUAACUACUGCGAAAGCAU